GAGUGGCGUUCCCCGUUUGCAUUUCCGUCAACGACAUUGUCUGCAAUCAUUCGCCCUUGCCAAACGAAGAACGGGUAAGUGCCGUCCCAUGUGGUAUAGAGAAAAAUGGCGUACCUGCCGUACAAAAUAACCUGUGGUGGUCGACACAAGUAUGCCACGA
rnacentral:pre_miRNA from 1 species